CCUGAUGCAAAGGGGCAAAUCUGAUCUUACAGGUAGAAUGGGUGCUCUUCCCCUGCCCCAGAGGUCCCAAACCUUGUAAUCAGCUAUUGCUCAGGUAUUCAGGCAGAUGGGAGAACCAACUCCAGAGGAGGAAGCACAGAAGCCAGAAUGAGGAAGGAUGGUGGAGAGCAUUUGGGUGAAGAGCGAAGUCUACACACCACCUGGGCAGAAAGAGGAAACACAAGACCAGUUUAGGAACCAGAUCACAAGCCCAAUGCUGAGCACAGUGCUUGGCACGAAUUCAGUCCAAUGAACAUUUGAUCAGUCGUGCGAUGAGCCAGGCAUCGGUGAUACAGACAAAAAUGAAAAUCAUCCCUGCCCUCGAGGAGCUUACAUUCUACGGUAAGGUGACUGAGAAGUGACCCUGAAAGAUGGACAUUUCCAGUCUUGGUGGCCACCUUCCAAGUGGCUUACUGAGUUGGGGGUGGUUGUCCAGCAGGAGAGACUUCCUGAAGCUAACUACUUCUGAGGGAAGAAGUCAUGUCACUGCCAUGAGAAGCAACCUGACUCAGAAAGGACUCCGAAAGCACAAAGGAUUCUGUGGAUGGGUGGCAUCAUAGUGCACAGAGUGCUGGGAACUGGAGUCAGGAAGACCUGAGUUCAAAUCUGCCUCAGACACUAGCUGUGUGA